rnacentral:lncRNA from 1 species
CUUUGCCAAAGAAAGUGUGAAUUCUCAUGUUACCACGCUUGGACCUCAAAAUUUUCCUGCCAAUGACAAAGAACCAUGGCUUGUUGAUUUCUUUGCCCCCUGGUGUCCACCAUGUCGAGCUUUACUACCAGAGUUACGAAGAGCAUCAAAUCUUCUUUAUGGUCAGCUUAAGUUUGGUACACUAGAUUGUACAGUUCAUGAGGGACUCUGUAACAUGUAUAACAUUCAGGCUUAUCCAACAACAGUGGUAUUCAACCAGUCCAACAUUCAUGAGUAUGAAGGACAUCACUCUGCUGAACAAAUCUUGGAGUUCAUAGAGGAUCUUAUGAAUCCUUCAGUGGUCUCCCUUACACCCACCACCUUCAACGAACUAGUUACACAAAGAAAACACAACGAAGUCUGGAUGGUUGAUUUCUAUUCUCCGUGGUGUCAUCCUUGCCAAGUCUUAAUGCCAGAAUGGAAAAGAAUGGCCCGGACAUUAACUGGACUGAUCAACGUGGGCAGUAUAGAUUGCCAACAGUAUCAUUCUUUUUGUGCCCAGGAAAACGUUCAAAGAUACCCUGAGAUAAGAUUUUUUCCCCCAAAAUCAAAUAAAGCUUAUCAUUAUCACAGUUACAAUGGUUGGAAUAGGGAUGCUUAUUCCCUGAGAAUCUGGGGUCUAGGAUUUUUACCUCAAGUAUCCACAGAUCUAACACCUCAGACUUUCAGUGAAAAAGUUCUACAAGGGAAAAAUCAUUGGGUGAUUGAUUUCUAUGCUCCUUGGUGUGGACCUUGCCAGAAUUUUGCUCCAGAAUUUGAGCUCUUGGCUAGGAUGAUUAAAGGAAAAGUGAAAGCUGGAAAAGUAGACUGUCAGGCUUAUGCUCAGACAUGCCAGAAAGCUGGGAUCAGGGCCUAUCCAACUGUUAAAUUUUAUUUCUACGAAAGAGCAAAGAAAUUUUCAAGAAGAGCAGAUAAAUACCAGAGAUGCAAAAGCAAUCGCUGCCUUAAUAAGUGAAAAAUUGGAAACUCUCCGAAAUCAAGGCAAGAGGAAUAAGGAUGAACUUUGAUAAUGUUGAAGAUGAAGAAAAAGUUUAAAAGAAAUUCUGACAGAUGACAUCAGAAGACACCUAUUUAGAAUGUUACAUUUAUGAUGGGAAUGAAUGAACAUUAUCUUAGACUUGCAGUUGUACUGCCAGAAUUAUCUACAGCACUGGUGUAAAAGAAGGGUCUGCAAACUUUUUCUGUAAAGGGCCGGUUUAUAAAUAUUUUAGACUUUGCAGGCUAUAAUAUAUGGUUCACACAUGAGAACAAGAAUAGAGUCAUCAUGUAUUCUUUGUUAUUUGCUUUUAACAACCUUUAAAAAAUAUUAAAACGAUUCUUAGCUCAGAGCCAUACAAAAGUAGGCUGGAUUCAGUCCAUGGACCAUAGAUUGCUGUCCCCCUCGACGGACUUAUAAUGUUUCAGGUGGCUGGCUUGAACAUGAGUCUGCUGUGCUAUCUACAUAAAUGUCUAAGUUGUAUAAAGUCCACUUUCCCUUCACGUUUUUUGGCUGACCUGAAAAGAGGUAACUUAGUUUUUGGUCACUUGUUCUCCUAAAAAUGCUAUCCCUAACCAUAUAUUUAUAUUUCGUUUUAAAAACACCCAUGAUGUGGCACAGUAAACAAACCCUGUUAUGCUGUAUUAUUAUGAGGAGAUUCUUCAUUGUUUUCUUUCCUUCUCAAAGGUUGAAAAAAUGCUUUUAAUUUUUCACAGCCGAGAAACAGUGCAGCAGUAUAUGUGCACACAGUAAGUACACAAAUUUGAGCAACAGUAAGUGCACAAAUUCUGUAGUUUGCCGUAUCAUCCAGGAAAACCUGAGGGAAAAAAAUUAUAGCAAUUAACUGGGCAUUGUAGAGUAUCCUAAAUAUGUUAUCAAGUAUUUAGAGUUCUAUAUUUUAAAGAUAUAUGUGUUCAUGUAUUUUCUGAAAUUGCUUUCAUAGAAAUUUUCCCACUGAUAGUUGAUUUUUGAGGCAUCUAAUAUUUACAUAUUUGCC